rnacentral:rRNA from 1 species
UACAGAGGGUGCGAGCGUUAAUCGGAAUUACUGGGCGUAAAGCGUGCGUAGACGGUUAUUUAAGUCGGGUGUGAAAGCCCCGGGCUCAACCUGGGAAUUGCAUUCGAGACUGAAUAGCUAGGGUACGGUAGAGGGAAGCGGAAUUUCCGGUGUAGCGGUGAAAUGCGUAGAUAUCGGAAGGAACAUCAGUGGCGAAAGCGGCUUCCUGGACCAGUACCGACGUUCAGGCACGAAAGCGUGGGGAGCGAACCGG